UACGAAGGGGGCUAGCGUUGCUCGGAAUUACUGGGCGUAAAGGGUGCGCAGGCGGUUAUAUAAGACAGAUGUGAAAUCCCCGGGCUCAACCUGGGAACUGCGUUUGUGACUGUAUGACUAGAGUACGGUAGGGAGGGGUGGAAUUCCUGGUGUAGCAGUGAAAUGCGUAGAUAUCAGGAGGAACAUCGAUGGCGAAGGCAGCCCCUUGGACCUGUACUGACGCUCAUGCACGAAAGCGUGGGGAGCAAACAGG
rnacentral:rRNA from 1 species